AUUGAACGCUGGCGGCAGGCCUAACACAUGCAAGUCGAGCGGAUGAAGGUAGCCUGCUACCUGAUUCAGCGGCGGACGGGUGAGUAAUGCCUAGGAAUCUGCCUGGUAGUGGGGGACAACGUUUCGAAAGGAACGCUAAUACCGCAUACGUCCUACGGGAGAAAGUGGGGGAUCUUCGGACCUCACGCUAUCAGAUGAGCCUAGGUACGAUUAGCUAGUUGGUGAGGUAAAGGCUCACCAAGGGGACAAUCGUUAACUGGUCUGAGAGGAUGAUCAGUCAAGCUGGAACUGAGACACGGUCCAGACUCCUACUGGAGGCAGCAGUGGGGAAUAUUGGACAAUGGGCGAAAGCCUGAUCCAGCCAUGCCGCGUGUGUGAAGAAGGUCGUCGGAUUGUAAAGCACUUUAAGUUGGGAGGAAGGGCAGUAAGUUAAUACCUUGCUGUUUUGACGUUACCGACAGAAUAAGCACCGGCUAACUUCGUGCCAGCAGCCGCGGUAACAC
rnacentral:rRNA from 1 species